rnacentral:rRNA from 1 species
AGUGAACGCUGGCGGUAGGCCUAACACAUGCAAGUCGAACCGCAGCACAGUAAGAGCUUGCUCUUACGGGUGGCGAGUGGCGGACGGGUGAGGAAUACAUCGGAAUCUACUUUUUCGUGGGGGAUAACGUAGGGAAACUUACGCUAAUACCGCAUACGACCUACGGGUGAAAGCAGGGGAUCUUCGGACCUUGCGCGAUUGAAUGAGCCGAUGUCGGAUUAGCUAGUUGGCGGGGUAAAGGCCCACCAAGGCGACGAUCCGUAGCUGGUCUGAGAGGAUGAUCAGCCACACUGGAACUGAGACACGGUCCAGACUCCUACGGGAGGCAGCAGUGGGGAAUAUUGGACAAAGGGCGCAAGCCUGAUCCAGCCAUACCGCGUGGGUGAAGAAGGCCUUCGGGUUGUAAAGCCCUUUUGUUGGGAAAGAAAAGCAGCAGGUUAAUACCCCGCUGUUCUGACGGUACCCAAAGAAUAAGCACCGGCUAACUUCGUG